UUGAAUGAAGUUGUCAUCGGAUUUGCAUUCUUUUAUCGCGCGCAGGGUAUUCUUGGUUGUCGGUUAACUUUAGAUUUCCGGCGAACCUGGCGAUCGCCGUAGCCUACGUUGGGAACCGCUGCAUAAUGGUUGAAUCUUCUGCGCAGUUGAGGCGGAUUCGAUCGGCUUCUUUCGAGGCGCUGACAUCGUGUGCCUGGAAAUAAUCUAACCAAUGUUUAAGCCUCCCGGUGAAUGGGGGAUAGACAGGUUUGAGGCAUGAUGUUAGGAUGGUUAGGGAGAUUUUCGCUCUAUUCGUGGGCUGAUAUUUACUUUCUUUUAUGAUGAACGUCAAUUAAGGCUUACUGAUCAUGACUUCUUGUCGCUCCGAACAGUUUAGAAGGAUGACUGUUAGGGAGAUCUGUGAGUGUGUUGAUUCUUCAGGAAGGCCUGCUCUGCGUGUGGUAAUGGAAAAAAAAGGAUUAACACAUUAGGAAGGACGAGUCUACCGGCACUUCUUGUUCUGCAUUUGUACUGUACGUCUGGGUACCGUUUAUGGCGGGGAUUCCUUUUACAAGAUUCUGAUUCAACCUCAGAAAUGUUA